AUUGAACGCUGGCGGCAGGCCUAACACAUGCAAGUCGAACGGUAACAGGAAGAAGCUUGCUUCUUUGCUGACGAGUGGCGGACGGGUGAGUAAUGUCUGGGAAACUGCCUGAUGGAGGGGGAUAACUACUGGAAACGGUAGCUAAUACCGCAUAACGUCGCAAGACCAAAGAGGGGGACCUUCGGGCCUCUUGCCAUCGGAUGUGCCCAGAUGGGAUUCGCUAGUAGGUGGGGUAACGGCUCACCUAGGCGACGAUCCCUAGCUGGUCUGAGAGGAUGACCAGCCACACUGGAACUGAGACACGGUCCAGACUCCGACGGGAGGCAGCAGUGGGGAAUAUUGCACAAUGGGCGCAAGCCUGAUGCAGCCAUGCCGCGUGUAUGAAGAAGGCCUUCGGGUUGUAAAGUACUUUCAGCGGGGAGGAAGGGAGUAAAGUUAAUACCUUUGCUCAUUGACGUUACCCGCAGAAGAAACACCGGCGAACUCCGG
rnacentral:rRNA from 1 species